UUGAAGGUGUAGCUCAGUGGUAGAGCAUUCGCCUCCCAUCUGUGAGGCUCUGAGUUCUAUUCCCAGCACUGAAA
rnacentral:tRNA from 1 species